AUGACCAUCGCCGUGAUCAUCGCUGUCUUGAUCUGGGAACAAGGCGAGUUGGACAGGCGGUUUUGGAUUGGAAUUGGAGCCAGUGCCUCGCUUAGAUUUGGAGUGCUUGCUGUUGCUAGUAGAUCCACUGCCAAGGGAAAGGGCAGUCAUUUCCUCUAUUUCUUCUUCCAUCUCAGCCAUUUUUACUUCUCCCAAGGGAAAGUGCAUCUCUGCUGGUGGAUCUCAGCUGUGUUUCUUGGUUGGAAACCAUACCUCUAUCAGAGCAAAAACACGUAUAUAUUGUGGAGGAUGUGUGGCGGUUUUGUUGGUGGCCUCUUAAUUUGGUGA
rnacentral:rRNA from 1 species